rnacentral:rRNA from 1 species
AGCCGCUAUUAACGACUAGCUUUUCCUCCCUACUGAAAGUGCUUUACAACCCUAAGGCCUUCUUCACACACGCGGCAUGGCUGGAUCNGCUUUCGCCCAUUGUCCAAUAUUCCCC